rnacentral:rRNA from 1 species
AGUGAACGCUGGCGGUAGGCCUAACACAUGCAAGUCGAACGGCAGCACAGUAAGAGCUUGCUCUUACGGGUGGCGAGUGGCGGACGGGUGAGGAAUACAUCGGAAUCUACUUUUUCGUGGGGGAUAACGUAGGGAAACUUACGCUAAUACCGCAUACGACCUACGGGUGGAAGCAGGGGAUCUUCGGACCUUGCGCGAUUGAAUGAGCCGAUGUCGGAUUAGCUAGUUGGCGGGGUAAAGGCCCACCAAGGCGACGAUCCGUAGCUGGUCUGAGAGGAUGAUCAGCCAAACUGGAACUGAGACACGGUCCAGACUCCUACGGGAGGCAGCAGUGGGGAAUAUUGGACAAUGGGCGCAAGCCUGAUCCAGCCAUACCGCGUGGGUGAAGAAGGCCUUCGGGUUGUAAAGCCCUUUUGUUGGGAAAGAAAAGCAGCAGGUUAAUACCCCGCUGUUCUGACGGUACCCAAAGAAUAAGCACCGGCUAACUUCGUG